AUUGAACGCUGGCGGCAGGCCUAACACAUGCAAGUCGAACGGUAACAGGAAGAAGCUUGCUUCUUUGCUGACGAGUGGCGGACGGGUGAGUAAUGUCUGGGAAACUGCCUGAUGGAGGGGGAUAACUACUGGAAACGGUAGCUAAUACCGCAUAACGUCGCAAGACCAAAAAGGGGGACCUUCGGGCCUCUUGCCAUCGGAUGUGCCCAGAUGGGAUUAGCUAGUAGGUGGGGUAACGGCUCACCUAGGCGACGAUCCCUAGCUGGUCUGAGAGGAUGACCAGCCACACUGGAACUGAGACACGGUCCAGACUCCUACGGGAGGCAGCAGUGGGGAAUAUUGCACAAUGGGCGCAAGCCUGAUGCAGCCAUGCCGCGUGUAGGAAGAAGGCCUUCGGGUUGUAAAGUACUUUCAGCGGGGAGGAAGGGAGUAAAGUUAAUACCUUUGCUCAUUGACGUUACCCGCAGAAGAAGCACCGGCUAACUCCG
rnacentral:rRNA from 1 species